GAUGAACGCUGGCGGCGUGCCUAAUACAUGCAAGUCGAGCGAACAGACGAGGAGCUUGCUCCUCUGACUUUAGCGGCGGACGGGUGAGUAACCCGUGGAUAACCUACCUAUAAGACUGGGAUAACUUCGGGAAACCGUAGCUAAUACCGUAUAACAUGUUUAACCUCAUUGUUAAACAGUGAAAGACGGUCUUGCUGUCACUUAUAGAUGGAUCCUCGCCGCAUUAGCUAGUUGGUAAGGUAACGGCUUACCAAGGCAACGAUGCGUAGCCGACCUGAGAGGGUGAUCGGCCACACUGGAACUGAGACACGGUCCAGACUCCGACGGGAGGCAGCAGUAGGGAAUCUUCCGCAAUGGGCGAAAGCCUGACGGAGCAACGCCGCGUGAGUGAAGAAGGUCUUCGGAUCGUAAAACUCUGUUAUUAGGGAAGAACAAAUGUGUAAGUAACUAUGCACGUCUUGACGGUACCUAAUCAGAAAGCCACGGCUAACUACGUG
rnacentral:rRNA from 1 species